GUUCAGAAUGAACGCUAGUAGUAUGCUUUACACAUGCAAGUUGAAUGCUUAUAAAUAAUAAGCAUAGCGAACGGGUGAGUAAUAUCUAAGUAUUUACUUUAUAAAUGGGGAUAAUUAUAUUGUUAUUUUUGAUAAAUAAUAAGAAUCACUUGUGAGUAAAAAUACCCUGAAAAGGAUUGAAUUAAUCCGUUAUAAAAAAAGCUUAGAGAAUGUUAGAUAGUUGGUGAAGUAAUGGUUUACCAAGUCAAAGAUGUUUAGUUGGUCUUAACGGACGUACAACCACAUUGGGACUGAGACACGGCCCAAACUAUUAUUAGGCUGCAGUGAGGAAUAUUGGACAAUGAAUGAAAAUUUGAUCCAGCAAUACUACNUAAAGUAUGACAGCUAUUAUUUNGGUUGAAAACUUUUUUCAUUAAAAAAGAUNAUGACUUUUUUAAANAAGAAGCNCCGGGCAACUCUGUGCCAGCAGCCGCGGUAAUACAGGGGGAGCAGGUGUUAUUCCACGUUAUUAGGCGUAAAGAGUUUGUAGGUUAUUUAAUUGGUUAGAAUAGAAAGUCUAUAGCUCAACUAUAGAAAAUGUUCUAAAACAGCUUUAUUUGAGUUUAACAGAAGAUAAUAGAAUUCUUAAAGUAAAGAUAAAAUUUUUUAAUAUUAAGAGGAAUUCCUGUAGCGAAGGCGAUUAUCUAAGUUAAUACUGACACUGAGAAACGAAAGUAUAGGGAGCAAAUGGGAUUAGAGACCCCAGUAGUCUAUACUGUAAACGAUGAAUGUUAAACAUUAGGUUUUUUAAAAUUUAGUGUUAAAGCUAACGCGUUAAACAUUCCGCCUGAGAAUUACGGUCGCAAGACUAAAACUCAAAGGACUUGACGGGAGUUUAGACCAGCGGUGGAGCAUGUGGUUUAAUGCGAUAAUACGCGCGAAAUCUUACCAAUNUUUGAAUAUUAUUUUUAAAUUUUGAAUAAUACAGGUGUUGCAUGGCUGUCGUCAGCCCGUGUCUUGAGAUGUUAUGGUUAACUCCUAUCUUAACGGGCGUAACUCUUAUUUUUUAUUAUUUUUUAUUUAANUGNUUAANUAAAAAANGUUANUUAAAAUAAAAAGAUGUCUAAUUAAAGUUAGAGGAAGAAAAGAAUCACGUCAAGUCCUUACGGCCCUCAUAAAUUGGGCUAUACAUGUGCUACAAUGGUAUUUACAAAAAGAGGCAAUUAAGUGAUUAAGAGCAAAUCUUUAAAAAAUAUCUAAGUCCGGAUUAUAAAUUGUAAUUUAUUUAUAUGAAGUUGGAAUCGCUAGUAAUCGUAAAUCAGCANGUUACGGUGAAAAUUAAAAUAUAAACUCUGUACAAACCGCCCGUCAAAUCAGGAAAAUAAAUCAGUUUUAAAGUUUCAAUACAAUUUUGACGUAAAAUAGAUUAU
rnacentral:rRNA from 1 species